rnacentral:rRNA from 1 species
GACGAACGCUGGCGGCGUGCUUAACACAUGCAAGUCGAACGGAAAGGCCCUGCUUUUGUGGGGUGCUCGAGUGGCGAACGGGUUAGUAACACGUGAGUAACCUGCCCCUGACUUUGGGAUAACUUCAGGAAACUGGGGCUAAUACCGGAUAGGAGCUCCUGCUGCAUGGUGGGGGUUGGAAAGUUUCGGCGGUUGGGGAUGGACUCGCGGCUUAUCAGCUUGUUGGUGGGGUAGUGGCUUACCAAGGCUUAGACGGGUAGCCGGCCUGAGAGGGGGACCGGGCUCAAGACUACUGAGGUACGCACCAGUCUCGUACGGGACGCAGCGGGGGGGAGUAUGACGCAGUGGGCCGGCGCCUGAUGUGGCGGCGCCGCGUGCGGAAAGACCGCCUUCUGGUUAAAAACCACUUUCGCCUGUAACGAGGCGGGAGUGACGGUAACGGGUAAGAAAGCACCGGCUAACUACGUG